rnacentral:rRNA from 1 species
UAAGACGUAGGGGGCCAGCGUUGUUCGGAAUUACUGGGUGUAAAGGGUUCGUAGGCGGUGCGGCAAGUUGGGAGUGAAAUCUCUGGGCUUAACCCAGAGGCUGCUUCCAAAACUGCUGUGCUCGAGUGUGGGAGAGGCGCGUGGAAUUGCAGGUGUAGCGGUGAAAUGCGUAGAUAUCUGCAGGAACACCCGUGGCGAAAGCGGCGCGCUGGACCACUACUGACGCUGAGGAACGAAAGCUAGGGGAGCAAACAGG